GUCUUCCCUCCCCCCUCCCCUCUCCCUCCCCGCCUGCCUCCCUUCCUUAGAAUACUGGGAACUCAGUCACGAACGAUUGUGUUGUGCCGUUUGGGGGUUUGCAGUGGGAGGACUGAGGCCCAGCGGUGAACCUCUUACCUUCCUCCCUGAACAGCCCUGCUCUGCUGGUCCUCUGUGGGGACCAUGGAGGCGUCGUGGGGCCGUGGAGGGGUCGUGGGGCCGUGGAGGCCACCACCCCUCUGCUGUCAGAAUUCCGGAGGGAGAGUAUGGCUUCUGUCCUCUUAGACUGAGCCAAGGGAAGAGGCCAGGGGGCUGUGUUCCAGCUGAAGCAAAGGCAAAUGUGGACCCAGCAAUCCUUGUCUUAGCGCUGCUGGGGGCCAUGUGGGCCAUAGGUUGGGAUGAGGGAUCAGUGAUGCCAGGAUCCUUUCAGGGCCCCAUCCUCUGCCCUCUGCAUCCAGUAGAGGUGCAGUGUCAGAAGGAGCACACCCGCAGAGGAGCAGAGCCAGGGAGGAGACCAGAACCCGUGCCAGAGGAGUAUGUGACUUGGAGUUCAGAAGACCCAGGGGGACCUGAGAACUGCCUUCAAGGAAGCAGAGGGAUUUGUUUUCUCGACUGGGUGAGUGUGCACGUAAGCUGAGGAAACAGCACUGAGACCUCGGGCCUACAGAGAUGCGACACGACCACAUGUGAGUGCACGCUCCUGACCGCCCAAGUAACUGGAGAAGAUGCUAC
rnacentral:lncRNA from 1 species